rnacentral:misc_RNA from 1 species
AAAAAAAAAAAAAAAAAAAGAAUGGGGCAAAUAUUAAUUCUUAAAUGUGGGGGCAAACAUCAAUAAUUAAAAAGGAAAAAAAUCAUAUAACUUUGAAGAUUCUCUUUGAGGGCAAGUACCCCCAUUGCCUCCUUUGUAGAUCCGUCCCUGUUAAUAUGCUUCAACUUUUGGUUUUAUUGUCAACCCAAAAUCUGAACAUGGCUCAGCUAUGACAACCAUUACUAAUAGUAUUGUAUUGUAAAAGAGAUAAUUAAUUAAUUAUAAUGCUUGAAGAGAUCUGAGCUGGCUUCAGGUUUAGUCAUUCUCUGAGUUGAUAUUUUAAGUAACUCAACUCUGUCCUAGGUUUCAUUGAGAAGGUUAAAAUUUGAUUAUUUUUGUAAAAGUGUUUGGUAUCUUGCUAAUUUCAACAUUUCUUCAAGCUAACAUCUUCCUUUCUCAAAAUAUUAAUUCUGAUUGCUUGGGCACUAAUCAUUCAUUUUAAAUAAAAUCUUUAGCCCCGUUUACUCUUUCUGUCUGUGCCUCUGUGUGUAUGCAGAUUAGCCAAUUAGGCCUCCUGCAGUUGGAUCCUUGGGUCCUAUUUGAUUCUUCUCCUUUUCAUAUUGGGGAUUUUUUUGUUUUGUUGAUCAUAUUUUAAGAAUUUAACUGUAAGUCCUAUAUCUUG